UACGUAGGUGGCAAGCGUUGUCCGGAUUUACUGGGCGUAAAGAGCGCGCAGGCGGUCGUUCAAGUCGCGUGUGAAAGCCCCCGGCUCAACUGGGGAGGGUCACGCGAUACUGAUCGACUCGAAGGCAGGAGAGGGUAGUGGAAUUCCCGGUGUAGUGGUGAAAUGUGUAGAUAUCGGAAGGAACGCCAGCAGCGAAAGCGGCACACUGGGCCUUUUCUGACGCUGAGGCACGAAAGCCAGGGGAGCGAACGGG
rnacentral:rRNA from 1 species